CAUGGCCGUCGUCAGUUCGUACUGUGAAGCAUCCUGUUAAGUCAGGCAACGAGCGAGACCACGCCAACAGUUGCCAGCAUGAUCUCCGGAUUGAUGGGGACACUGUUGGGACCGCCUCUGCUAAAGGGGAGGAAGGAAUGGGCAACGGUAGGUCAGCAUGCCCCGAAUUAUCCGGGCUACACGCGGGCUACAAUGGAUGGGACAAUGGGUUUCGACACCGAAAGGUGAAGGUAAUCUCCUAACCCCACCCGUAGUUCGGAUUGCGGGCUGCAACUCGCCCGCAUGAAGCUGGAAUCCGUAGUAAUCGCGUCUCACGAUGGCGCGGUGAAUAUGUCCCUGCUCCUU
rnacentral:rRNA from 1 species